CUAAUACCGGAUACGAGCUGCGAAGGCAUCUUCAGCAGCUGGAAAGAAUUUCGGUCCGGGAUGGGCUCGCGGCCUAUCAGCUAGUUGGUGAGGUAAUGGCUCACCAAGGCGUCGACGGGUAGCCGGCCUGAGAGGGUGACCGGCCACACUGGGACUGAGACACGGCCCAGACUCCUACGGGAGGCAGCAGUGGGGAAUAUUGCACAAUGGGCGAAAGCCUGAUGCAGCAACGCCGCGUGAGGGAUGACGGCCUUCGGGUUGUAAACCUCUUUUAGCAGGGAAGAAGCGAAAGUGACGGUACCUGCAGAAAAAGCGCCGGCUAACUACGUGCCAGCAGCCGCGGUAAUACGUAGGGCGCAAGCGUUAUCCGGAAUUAUUGGGCGUAAAGAGCUCGUAGGCGGUUUGUCGCGUCUGCUGUGAAAACCCGAGGCUCAACCUCGGGCCUGCAGUGGGUACGGGCAGACUAGAGUGCGGUAGGGGAGAUUGGAAUUCCUGGUGUAGCGGUGGAAUGCGCAGAUAUCAGGAGGAACACCGAUGGCGAAGGCAGAUCUCUGGGCCGUAACUGACGCUGAGGAGCGAAAGGGUGGGGAGCAAACAGGCUUAGAUACCCUGGUAGUCCACCCCGUAAACGUUGGGAACUAGUUGUGGGGUCCAUUCCACGGAUUCCGUGACGCAGCUAACGCAUUAAGUUCCCCGCCUGGGGAGUACGGCCGCAAGGCUAAAACUCAAAGGAAUUGACGGGGACCCGCACAAGCGGCGGAGCAUGCGGAUUAAUUCGAUGCAACGCGAAGAACCUUACCAAGGCUUGACAUAUACGAGAACGGGCCAGAAAUGGUCAACUCUUUGGACACUCGUAAACAGGUGGUGCAUGGUUGUCGUCAGCUCGUGUCGUGAGAUGUUGGGUUAAGUCCCGCAACGAGCGCAACCCUUCGUUCUAUGUUGCCAGCACGUAAUGGUGGGAACUCAUGGGAUACUGCCGGGGUCAACUCGGAGGAAGGUGGGGAUGACGUCAAAUCAUCAUGCCCCUUAUGUCUUGGGCUUCACGCAUGCUACAAUGGCCGGUACAAAGGGCUGCAAUACCGCAAGGUGGAGCGAAUCCCAAAAAGCCGGUCCCAGUUCGGAUUGAGGUCUGCAACUCGACCUCAUGAAGUCGGAGUCGCUAGUAAUCGCAGAUCAGCAAC
rnacentral:rRNA from 1 species